rnacentral:rRNA from 1 species
AGGUGAAGAGACGUGCUCUUGGAGCCGAGGCCAGUCGCAGAUACCAGCUGGCUGCAACUGUUUAAUAAAAACACAGCACUGUGCAAACACGAAAGUGGACGUAUACGGUGUGACGCCUGCCCGGUGCUGGAAGGUUAAUUGAUGGGGUUAUCGCCUCGGCGAGAAGCUCUUGAUCGAAGCCCCAGUAAACGGCGGCCGUAACUAUAACGGUCCUAAGGUAGCGAAAUUCCUUGUCGGGUAAGUUCCGACCUGCACGAAUGGCGUAAUGAUGGCCAGGCUGUCUCCACCCGAGACUCAGUGAAAUUGAACUCGCUGUGAAGAUGCAGUGUACCCGCGGCAAGACGGAAAGACCCCGUGAACCUUUACUAUAGCUUGACACUGAACAUGGAGCCUUGAUGUGUAGGAUAGGUGGGAGGCUGUGAAAUGUGGACGCCAGUCUGCAUGGAGCCAUCCUUGAAAUACCACCCUUGAAUGUUUGAUGUUCUAACGCCGGCCCGUAAUCCGGGUUGCGGACAGUGUCUGGUGGGUAGUUUGACUGGGGCGGUCUCCUCCCAAAGUGUAACGGAGGAGCACGAAGGUUGGCUAAUCCUGGUCGGACAUCAGGAGGUUAGUGCAAUGGCAUAAGCCAGCUUGACUGCGAGAGUGACGGCUCGAGCAGGUGCGAAAGCAGGUCAUAGUGAUCCGGUGGUUCUGAAUGGAAGGGCCAUCGCUCAACGGAUAAAAGGUACUCCGGGGAUAACAGGCUGAUACCGCCCAAGAGUUCAUAUCGACGGCGGUGUUUGGCACCUCGAUGUCGGCUCAUCACAUCCUGGGGCUGAAGUAGGUCCCAAGGGUAUGGCUGUUCGCCAUUUAAAGUGGUACGCGAGCUGGGUUUAGAACGUCGUGAGACAGUUCGGUCCCUAUCUGCCGUGGGCGUUGGAAGAUUGCAAGGGGCUGCUCCUAGUACGAGAGGACCGGAGUGGACGCACCACUGGUGUUCGGGUUGUCAUGCCAAUGGCACUGCCCGGUAGCUAAGUGCGGAAGAGAUAACCGCUGAAAGCAUCUAAGCGGGAAACUUGCCUUAAGAUGAGUCUUCCCUUACUCCUAGAGGGUACUGAAGGAACGUUCGAGACGAGGACGU